UACGAGGGGGGCGAGCGUUGUUCGGAAUUAUUGGGCGUAAAGGGUGCGUAGGCGGUUUGGUAAGUCUCUUGUGAAAUCUAUGGGCUCAACUCAUAGUCUGCAAGGGAAACUGCCGGGCUUGAGUGUGGGAGAGGUGAGUGGAAUUUCCGGUGUAGCGGUGAAAUGCGUAGAUAUCGGAAGGAACACCUGUGGCGAAAGCGGCUCACUGGACCACAACUGACGCUGAUGCACGAAAGCUAGGGGGGAGCAAACGGG
rnacentral:rRNA from 1 species